GGAGCGCUUAAUAUUGAGGACUUAUAGGGGUAGUAAUCUAUCAAUAACUUUAUCUCUACCCCUAUAGAGUCCUCAAUAUUAAGCGCUCCAGUA